GACGAACGCUGGCGGCGUGCUUAACACAUGCCAGUCGAACGAAGAGCGAUGGAAGCUUGCUUCUAUCAAUCUUAGUGGCGAACGGGUGAGUAACGCGUAAUCAACCUGCCCUUCAGAGGGGGACAACAGUUGGAAACGACUGCUAAUACCGCAUACGAUCUAAGCUCGGCAUCGAGGAUAGAUUAAAGGUGGCCUCUACAUGUAAGCUAUCACUGAAGGAGGGGAUUGCGGCUGAUUAGCUAGUUGGAGGGGUAACGGCCUACCAAGGCGAUGAUCAGUAGCCGGUCUGAAAGGAUGAACGGCCACAUUGGGACUGAGACACGGCCCAGACUCCUACGGGAGGCAGCAGUGGGGAAUCUUCCGCAAUGGACGAAAGGCUGACGGAGCAACGCCGCGUGAGGGAUGACGGCCUUCGGGUUGUAAAGCUCUGUUAAUCGGGACGAAAGGCCUUCUUGCGAAUAGGGAGAAGGAUUGACGGUACCGGAAGAGAAAGCCACGGCUAACUACGUG
rnacentral:rRNA from 1 species